rnacentral:lncRNA from 1 species
AUUGAAUUAUACUAAAAAUCCAUAGAAAGAGUGAGGACUAAAUAUUGUAUAUUCAAUAUAUACUUUUUAUAAAAGUAGAUGGUAGGUCGAUUUUUGUUUGAGUAUCGGGCAAAUUAUAACUAUGAAAUAAUACUCCACAAAAUCCACGAACAACGAUACAGUCCAUAGGGCAAAUACUUUGUCAGUUGCUCCAACAAAAGUAAACCCAAUUGCUCGAUUAUUAUGUUUAUAUAUGUAUUUUCCUAGAAAAUUAGUUAGUACCUACUAAUUGGGGAACAUGGCUUAAACUAAAGUGUUGAUUGUUUUAGAUUAUGAAAGUACAUAAUUACAUGUAUCAAAGUACUAUGAAUUAUGAUACAACAAUACUCAAAAUAAAUAAAAACUUAUGACAUAAUCUUAAACAUCAUAUUUUGAUGAUACAUCCAUGUGUAGACCCAGGGGGCGUAGCAGCCCCCUUCCUAUAAAUAAAUUGUAUAUUCUACGCCCUUGUUAUUUGGAUCAAUCCUUAUGUAACAUUGGUAAACGAAUCAUAUACAUAUUUAUGCAGGAGAUAAUUACCAAUAUAAUUAGUUUGUCAUUUAUGAAAAAUAAGAACAUUUAAUUAAUUAUUUGCAACAAUAAGUAAUAAUCUUAAAGGUUAUUGAACUUCAUACAAUGGACUAUUCACAAUGAUUUUUUUAGUUUAUAAUUAGUUCUUAUAUAUUAUGUAUUGUAUACAUCCCAAAAAAUCAAAUAAUCCAGUUAUAUGUAAUUUGAUGCUCGGUGUUAUUAUUAAUUAUCGUCGCUUUGUAAUAACACAUUAACAAUAAAAUAAUAUAAAUAUUCUAAAAAAAAACAAUUCAAAUUAGAAUCUGCUUUAAAAAGUUACAUAUAUUUUUUUUAAAAAUAACAUAAAUUGAGAGACUUGUUAUAUGUAAUAUUAUAUUAUCAAGAAGUAUCCACCCAAUUUGAUCCUUUUCCAUAAGUAGUUAGAUGAGUUCUUUAUAUAUUAAAAUAUAUACGUUAGGGUAGAGAAGACUUUGAACUCUCAUCGUUUUGAAUUUUUCAUCAAUUCAUUAUUACAAAGCGCUCAUUAACAUCACUGUAAUUCUUAAAAGGAGCUGUGAGCACUUUUGUAUUUGGUACAUUCAGUCAUAAUUCAGGACUGUUGCGGGAAUCAGUUUCUCAAAACGGCUAUUCAUAAUGCGAACCUAUCCAAUUCUUGAAACAGAGUGUGCAAGUGCUCCUUCAAAUGAUAUAUUUUUUAGAAACUCAUCACCAAAGACUCCUUUUUGUAAACCUAAAGAGGAUGAAUAUAAAUAUCAACGUUCCCGUGUUCUCGAUAUGUCUAAAGAAAAGCUUUAUAAUAUCAUGGAUGGUGGACCUCGAUACACAAAGUGUAGAUUUAGUCCACGAAUCCCCAGUGAAUAUUACUUCAAGUCCGUACUCAUUCGUAAUAUUGUCUGUAAACUAGAAGAUGAGAUUCGAUAUGACUUGUUGGUACAAUUCACGAAUCCAUAAGAUCUACAUCUAUUAUAAGAAAACGACGAUUCUUGAAGAAGAAAAUCGGUUUGGUGGUUUUUGUUUGUUUUUUUUUUUUUUUUUUUUUUUUUGAAAUUUUGUUUGUGAUAGUGUCGCAAAGUUUUUGAAUACGUCAGAUCUUUUUCAGUUAAUUUAUUAUUGUGAAAUUACAAAUGCAUAGCCUAACUUUUAGCAUUGUGAUAUGAAAAUGAUCUUACACAAGAACUCAAGCUAUAGGCCUUGAAAGCUCCGUUCACAAAUGAUUACGCUUAUAAGAAGUGAAAAUAAUGUUAAUACACGUAACACUAAGCUCCGCUGAUGGAAAUCACUUUCUUUAACCAAUGAAAAUAAAAACAGUUUGUAUGAAUGACUGAGAGUGAAAUAUAAAGAACUAUGUUUUAGAAUGAAUAAAAGUAAAAAUAUGUAAGGUCAAAACCAAAAAUAAACUAUAUUUCGAAAUGCAUUAUGAAAUAACAAAAAAAACCCGCAUUAUUACAACACUUUGCUUGGACUUUAGUUGUUUUUGGAUGCAUGACUGUUAGUUGCAAUGUAGUGGUACAAAACGACGAG